AGAUGCAGAAGAAGCAAGCUGCUCCAAGGGCUCUGCACACAUUGUGGGACACGGUCUGCGCGCUCUACGUUCCAAUUUCGGGGAACGUCGAUGUGCAGGAAAGUCGACCCGUGUUGCUUGCUGCUUGACAAAGAGACCUGGACACCUUACCCAAGUAAUUUGAGCCGUCCUGACAGUGCGACAAAGAGGCAGCGACAUCAGAAGCAGCAGCGGCCCAGGGACCAUGGCCGCCGGCAGGGAGGACAUGUACCCCAUGUCGCCUUCGGGCCCUAGCCCCUACGAUACCCUCACUCCCAGUGCAUACGAGAGGGACGUCGAGUCCAUCACCCCAGAGGACAC